CCCUUAGAUGUUCUGGGCCGCACGCGUGCUACACUGAGUGGAUCAGCGGGUCAGGUUGCGCGAAAGUGUUUCCUAAUCUUUAAAUCCGCUCGUGAUGGGGAUUGACGGUUGCAAUUUUCCGUCAUGAACGAGGAAUACCUUGUAAGCGCGGGUCAUCAUCCCGCGCUGAAUACGUCCCUGCCCUUUGUACACACCGCCCGUCACUCCUACCGAUUGAGUGGUCCGGUGAGGCUUUGGGAUCUGAGCGGAAAGAGCGUUUCGCUGUUUCUGCCCGGAAAACUCAGUCGAACCUUAUCAUUUAGAGGAAGGAGAAGUCGUAACA
rnacentral:rRNA from 1 species